GUUCCGUUUUUGGUGGAAAUUUCGAAGAUAAAUUUAACCUACCAAAACCUUAAUUAAGUUGUGUGAUAGAUUUUAGGUGUUUUAUCCAUCACUCCAAAAUUUGAAAUAAUCAUUAAAUAUUUUAAUUACAAACCAGAGAAUUCCGAAUUUAUAUAAACCAUGCCGAUAAGUUAUUUUUUGAGUCAGUUAUUCCAUACAGAAGUAGAUAUAACAGCAUGUAAGAUCUUUUCUAUUAGAACAUCUUUAGUAUUUCAGGUUGUUAGUGCAAUUACUUCAUACGUAAUAUUAUGUAUUCAGCUCCAUAUUUAAAACAUCUUCAUGACAAACAAUAGUAAUUUAAUUAAAAAUUUCUUCU